UACACAUGCAAGUCGAACGAUGAUCCCUAGCUUGCUGGGGGGAUUAGUGGCGAACGGGUGAGUAACACGUGAGUAACCUGCCCUUGACUCUGGGAUAAGCCUGGGAAACUGGGUCUAAUACUGGAUAUGACUGACUAUCGCAUGGUGGUUGGUGGAAAGCUUUUGUGGUUUUGGAUGGACUCGCGGCCUAUCAGCUUGUUGGUGGGGUAAUGGCCUACCAAGGCGACGACGGGUAGCCGGCCUGAGAGGGUGGACGGCCACACUGGGACUGAGACACGGCCCAGACUCCUACGGGAGGCAGCAGUGGGGAAUAUUGCACAAUGGGCGCAAGCCUGAUGCAGCGACGCCGCGUGAGGGAUGAAGGCCUUCGGGUUGUAAACCUCUUUCAGUAGGGAAGAAGCGAAAGUGACGGUACCUGCAGAAGAAGCGCCGGCUAACUACGUGCCAGCAGCCGCGGUAAUACGUAGGGCGCAAGCGUUAUCCGGAAUUAUUGGGCGUAAAGAGCUCGUAGGCGGUUUGUCGCGUCUGCCGUGAAAGUCCGGGGCUUAACUCCGGAUCUGCGGUGGGUACGGGCAGACUUGAGUGAUGUAGGGGAGACUGGAAUUCCUGGUGUAGCGGUGAAAUGCGCAGAUAUCAGGAGGAACACCGAUGGCGAAGGCAGGUCUCUGGGCAUUAACUGACGCUGAGGAGCGAAAGCAUGGGGAGCGAACAGGAUUAGAUACCCUGGUAGUCCAUGCCGUAAACGUUGGGCACUAGGUGUGGGGGACAUUCCACGUUUUCCGCGCCGUA
rnacentral:rRNA from 2 species